rnacentral:tRNA from 1 species
GAAACUGUAGUUCAAAUGGAAGAGCAUUGCUACCCGUGGCAAAGGUUGGAGGUUCGAAUCCUCUCAGUUUCG